GUGGGGAAUAUUGGACAAUGGGCGAAAGCCUGAUCCAGCCAUGCCGCGUGUGUGAAGAAGGUCUUCGGAUUGUAAAGCACUUUAAGUUGGGAGGAAGGGCAGUAAGUUAAUACCUUGCUGUUUUGACGUUACCGACAGAAUAAGCACCGGCUAACUUCGUGCCAGCAGCCGCGGUAAUACGAAGGGUGCAAGCGUUAAUCGGAAUUACUGGGCGUAAAGCGCGCGUAGGUGGUUUUGUAAGUUGGAGGUGAAAUCCCCGGGCUCAACCUGGGAACUGCCUCCAAAACUGCAUGACUAGAGUACGGUAGAGGGUAGUGGAAUUUCCUGUGUAGCGGUGAAAUGCGUAGAUAUAGGAAGGAACACCAGUGGCGAAGGCGACUACCUGGACUGAUACCGACACUGAGGUGCGAAAGCGUGGGGAGCAAACAGGAUUAGAAACCCUAGUAGUCC
rnacentral:rRNA from 1 species